GUAUCCAAUUUUGUUGUCGCAGUUCUCGGAGCCGAUCGUAAAGUCCUCCACGGAUCCAUUUUUGAAAGGAUUCAGAUCGCAACUAGAUUAGACGUAUCCUUCGUUCCGCGUAUAACGCUCUGGUGGCAGCCUACGGGCUAUGAUUGCGGAUCUACGUCAUAACGCAUACAUUUUACGACAACUGUCCAUGAUCUUGCAAGUCAAUAAGUACAGCGCGGCGUAUAAUGUGCUGCAUUGAUUAUCUUAAACGAUUCGUUUUACCGCUUAUCCUCCUGGUGUAUUUUGGUGGCCAAAUGCUGUAAGCCUGGACGUCCCUCCAACUGGGCAUCUCCAAUCCAGAAGCGUUCUUACUGUCGUCUUCAGCAACAAUGACGC